AUUGAACGCUGGCGGCAGGCCUAACACAUGCAAGUCGAACGAGUGGCGGACGGGUGAGUAAUGUCUGGGAAACUGCCCGAUGGAGGGGGAUAACUACUGGAAACGGUAGCUAAUACCGCGUACUAUCCGAUGUGCCCCGAUGGGAUGAGCUUGUAGGUGAGGUACUGGCUCACCUAGGCGACGAUCCCUAGUUGGUCUGGGAGGAUGACCAGCCACACUGGAACGGAGACACGGUCCAGAGUCCUACGGGAGGCAGCAGUGGGGAAUAUUGCACAAUGGGCGCAAUCCUGAUGCAGCCAUGCCGCGUGUAUGAAGAAGGCCUUCGGGUUGUAAAGUACUUUCAGCGGGGAGGCGUUACCUGCAGAAGAAGCACCGGCGAACUCCGUGCCAGCAGCCGCGGUAAUUC
rnacentral:rRNA from 1 species